GGAUAUGAGGUAAAUCUGGCUGUGACACCUGUCACCCCACUGAUUGCAGGGGUUGAGUCAGAUGAUCUGGCUGCAUAGGUGGAUGUCCCCUUCCCUCCCUUCCUCUCAAGGCUGUGUGAAGUGGAAUGACCACGUCAUCAGAGGAGGCCUGGUUCCUGGGUUCCUUGGUCAGAGGUAUAUGAGUAGCUGUACUCUCAUGCUCUAAGCUCCAGAUAAACCCUCAAGAAGCCUGGUCUGCCCUGAUGA
rnacentral:snRNA from 1 species